AGAAGGGGUGCGCUGCUUCCAGGCAGUCAUAAAGAGUGAGUGCAGAGACGAGUGUAUUUUGUUGUCGGGCAGGUAAACGGCUUAGCCGUCCUGUGGGUUAGUUAGGUUCUCUUUUGUUUAGUCAGUGCUCUAAAAGGAGCUAGGUGUUUGGUUUAUUUUGUGUUUUUGUUUGUAUUAAUAUAAGUGUGUGUAAGCGCUGAACCUCCUAUUUUUUGUGUUUGGGUCAAAAGUUACUAUUUUGUACAAAGACAAAUACUGUACAAAGAAGGAACAAACCUUUGAUGCUACAAAAGAAACGGUGGAUAUGAGUGACCUGAUUUUUUGGACCCAUGUAAGCAGACAUCCCCAACUUUCGAGCUAUCAAAAGGAUUUUUGGAUGACGCCCUAGUUUGUGUCUAAGUCAGUGAACAUUCCUGUCUAUGUUAACGCCAAUCAGCAACAGUCAAGACUCGAAUCAACCCGGGAGCUGAAGCUAUGGAGCCAGCACUAACCCCGGGAGCAUUUACCCCUGCACACGACCACAACCCAGGAGAGCGUCCGCUCUGCAGGAACUGUAAGACGGUACUCGUGAAGGCAUUGCCCAGCCAAGGCUGUGUGAAGGCAGGAGUCGCCUACCCUAGUGUCAGCACUUGUGUUGAAUUAAUUCUGCACACUUGUGUGGUGUGUCAACACCCAAUGCUCUGUGUCUGCCUCAUUAUUAAUCAGUGACAACUCACACACAUGACAAACCCCCCUGUUACAGCAUGUAAUAACAACAUGCGUGUGACAGUUCAGCAUAACGGUAUAUGUCCUCGUUCUGCAAAGAAAUCGAGAUGGAUUUGUUACCCAACAAUCACAAAUAAACACUGUAUGUAUUUUAUAUAGAAAAAUAGGAUAAACCAUAUGCCCCUAUCUUCAGAUAUGCAGUUGCCUCAUGUUACUUUUUUUCUUUGUUACUGAACCAGAUUCCCUGCUGUUCCUGCUGCAUUAGGUUUGUAUUGCUCUCAAGAGGAAUUUAAGAAGUUAUAUAGUUUCAAGCUAGAGAACAAAAAAGUGAACACAUCAGAUUUUACAUCUCCCUUGCCAAGUUUUCCAAUGAGUUGGAACAAUUCUUUUAAAAUUCCUUUUUUUUUUUUUUUCAGACUUUGUGAUUUCUUAUGGGACUUAUAGUUUUUGUAAGAGUGCAGACAUAAUCAUUUGUUUAUUGAGAUUCCCUAUUUGCGAAAUUGAUUGGAAUUCAGUGCCCUCAGGACAACUGGCAAGAGUUUUGGGUUUUUCUUUCAGGUCCUGCUACUAAGAGAUCUUUUGAUCAUUAGUUUAAACAAAAACAAGGGAUGGCAGCUGGUAUGAAUUGGUUUCGAGUACCCACAUCUCAAGCAUGUUAAGUGUUUUUCUACAGGCUACUGAACAUGUUAUUCUUGUAUAAUAACUCUGUUCAAUCACGAUUAAUAUACAUUUGAGAAAAUAAAGAAUGCAUUGCUUUAAAUUUCACAAAUGUACUUACAGUUCCAAUAUCUUUGUAUGAUGUUUGCAAUUAUUCCAAGUGGUUCUCAGUUUUAUUCUUUUUUUUUUACAUAGAUGACGG